AGACAGGUCCCUGUACCUGGCCACAUCCCUGCUGAGCUCAGNNNNNNNNNNNNNNNNNNNNGGCAGCCGAUCGGAUCUCCCGGCACCGGCAGCGACACCAGAGAUGGUUGUGACCACUGCAGAACCAUAUGAUGCGUUUUCCUCAUAGGAAGAAGCAUCCUGCGGUGCUGGCAAGGCCAUUGGAAGAGCUGCAGGCUCGUGGCCUCCUCUUUAUUUUCAAAGAGUGGCACCAAGUUGGGAGAGUUGUGAUGUGGCCCUGACCUCCAACAGUCCCUGGACAUUGCCAAGCCCUUUUCCAGCUGGUACCUGGACUCCAAGGGCUUGGCAAUGUCCAGGGACUGUUGGAGGUCAGGGCCACAUCACAACUCUCCCAACUUGGUGCCACUCUUUGAAAAUAAAGAGGAGGCCACGAGCCUGCAGCUCUUCCAAUGGCCUUGCCAGCACCACCGGAUGCUUCUUCCUAUGAGGAAAACGCACCAUAUGGUUCUGCAGUGGUCACAACCAUCUCUGGUGUCGCUGCCGGUGCCGGGAGAUCCGAUCGGCUGCCACGGAGCAGGGAAUGCCAGCGGGACUGGGGAGAGCCUGCAGUGGUCAGCGACGGGGACGUCUUGUGCUUCCUGACACCAGGACAGGGUCACCAGCUGGGCUGCCCCUCACUGAGGUUGAUCUGCUCCAGGAUCUGGCUGUACCUCCGGGUCAGGGCGUUGGUGUCCCUGGUGAGGUGGGUGAGGACCUGCUGCAGGCCAGUCAGGUGGUGGGACAGGCGCUCCUCCAGCUGGGCACCCUCGGCCUCGUUGCUGUCCAAGGAUGUGUCCAUGUCGGUGUGGGCACCGCUCGGGCUCUGGUCACCGACAGAGGCCAGNNNNNNNNNNNNNNNNNNNNAGGGGCAGCAGAGCUGUAGGUCUCAGCCCCUCCUAGGCAGCAGCCUCCCU
rnacentral:lncRNA from 1 species